UUGAAGCUUCGGCAGAUUGUUCUAGUGGCGGACGGGUGAGUAACGCGUGGGUACCUGCCUUAUACAGGGGGAUAACAACCAGAAAUGGUUGCUAAUACCGCAUAAGACCGCAUGGUAAAAACUCCGGUGGUAUAAGAUGGACCCGCGUUGGAUUAGCUAGUUGGCAGGGUAACGGCCUACCAAGGCGACGAUCCAUAGCCGGCCUGAGAGGGUGAACGGCCACAUUGGGACUGAGACACGGCCCAGACUCCUACGGGAGGCAGCAGUGGGGAAUAUUGCACAAUGGGGGAAACCCUGAUGCAGCGACGCCGCGUGAAGAAGAAGUAUCUCGGUAUGUAAAUUCUAUCAGCAGGGAAGAUAGUGACGGUACCUGACUAAGAAGCCCCGGCUAACUACGUGCCAGCAGCCGCGGUAAUACGUAGGGGGCAAGCGUUAUCCGGAUUUACUGGGUGUAAAGGGAGCGUAGACGGACUGGCAAGUCUGAUGUGAAAGGCGGGGGCUCA
rnacentral:rRNA from 1 species